GACAGAUGGGGCUGGUUUUCACCUGGCCAAAUGGGUGAUAGCGAGAUGGUAACAGACUCAAAAUGAAGCCAGUGGACUUAUCGCACUGUUAACGACUGUUGUAUGGGCUGUUUCAGGGCAGAAAAGUAUUUGAUGGAGCCAAGUGAGAAUUCCCACCUACAAUCAAUCAUAGUUUGAUUUAUAAAAUUAUUGAAGAUAUGCAGAAAGAUCGUUUCGCUGUGCAGGGUUAAGUGAUGUGAAAUGCAUGAG